CUUUCUCUGCGGUCCUUUGUUCAUUGUUUGUUAAUGUUAUACACAGGGAGCUAACCGUGCAGCAGAGGAAGCAGAGAGGGAACGCCGGGACCGGGAAGACAGACUGAGGCACGGCAGGAACCCAGGGGCCAGAGGAAUACCUGCUGCAUCGGGACGACCACGAGGAACCCAGGACGGAGCCCCUCCCACCCCGCUAACACCCACCUCCCACACAGAUGGCGUCCAGUGUACCUCCUGCGGGUCUCCAUCUUCUAGCUCCUCGAUGAGCCCCACAAUGCAACCUGGCGGACCAAGCCCUGAAGCAAUCCGACAUGCUAAUACUACCACCACCACUAUUAAUUACCCGCUACUACAGCUACCGUUGGAAGUCCUUUAUGACUGACUGCUCUGCUCUCAGAACUGUUGCCUCCUUCAGAGUCUUCUUCUCUCUCCUGUUUUCUCAGUUACCAUUUCUGUGUGUUGGUCGGACCUCCUAAAACAUUAAAGGGCGUCGGGCGUGAGGGCAUUUUUCUGUCCACCUCUUCAGGAGACAUUUGCACAAUCCCGUCUCCCAACCACCAUCAGAUUCUGAAUAGGAGGGCUAUAAGAAGGGCAAACAUGGCAACCCAGCAGUCUUUUCUAGGACAGUCUGACUGAUGAAACAUUAACACCACUAGCUCCUCUUUCCUCUGCGGAAACCACUCCACUGUCACUUUCUGUUUGGUCAUAUCUGAUCAAUAAAACCGCUUUUCUCUCGUUUGCAGUAAGAUGUAAAGCUGAACCAGCAGCUCUUCAUUGUGUGUAUAUAUAUCUAUGGGUAGCUUUUGGGGUGUGAUGCUUUUCAUUGGAAUUUGCAGUUUUUAUUCCCUGCACUCACCGCCACGUUUCCUUUUUACUAAUCACCACCACUGAUGGCUCUCUUCAAUAAAUUAAAUAAAAAGAAACUACUUCUUUGCAUGAUUAGAGGUGAGCCUUCAGUCAAGUGCGGAGGGUUGAGUGGUACCAAAAAUAUGCUUUGGUGUCUUAGGUGCAGGAGGUUGUGUAUUCACCCAUUAUUGUCAAGCUCUGGUGUCCUGUCCAAUGAGCCCUGUUACCUUCCUAGUGGUUUGUACAAAAGCAGCAUACUUUAUGUAUGGGUGCAAGUACAUCAUCAGACAUUUUACCAGAUGUCCAUUCACUGUGGACAGAAACAUUUUCAUUUUCUUAUUUGUAUUAAUUUGAAGCUGUGAAUUACUUGUGUUAUUGGUGUGUAAAUGUUAAUGUGUCACUUUGUAUUCACAGACGUGUAGGGAUGGGUCUGAACAUGACUUGACAUGAAGUUUGGACUGCCAUAAGUGUCCCAUCAGUCUGCCCCCUUCAGAGCCAUGGAGGUAUUACAGAAAGCAGUGAUGAGGGCAGACAUGUUGCACUAAAUGUGAAAGACGUUUUGAAUGACGUGCUUUCCUGUCACAGCUACUGCUCAGUAUAAGCGACUCAGUGAUCCUGCACCAAUGUUGCAAACUGCAAUUUUGUAAUGGCACAGAAAAUGCAUUCUUUAUGAAUCCUCUUACAUAAAAAUUUAUUGAAAUGAUUCUUUGGUGGGAGGGAAGUUGAGCAUCAUCUGUUCACAAGCUUCUCCAGCAGCACUGUUUUGGGGUUGUUAUAUUUAAGUCUUUGCUGUGAUGAAUAACAAAGUCUGUCGGAAUGAAAUGGCCUAUUGUAAUUCGUUCUUGCUGCUUCGUAUUCUGUAGUUUUUGAUUUUGACCCUUGACCUCUUUGGUCAGCUACUCUAAACCUAUUAGAUUAUGUGAGCAACCAGAUCAGCAAGAUUUACUUUUUGACAUUUAUAUUUGCCACUGUAGUUGUGUACUUUAACUGUAAAUAAAUAAAUUACUUGUA